rnacentral:rRNA from 1 species
AACGAACGCUGGCGGCAUGCCUAACACAUGCAAGUCGAACGAGACCUUCGGGUCUAGUGGCGCACGGGUGCGUAACGCGUGGGAACCUGCCCUUAGGUUCGGAAUAACUCCCCGAAAGGGGUGCUAAUACCGGAUAAUCUCUUCGGACCAAAGAUUUAUCGCCAUUGGAUGGGCCCGCGUUGGAUUAGCUAGUUGGUAGUGUAAAAGCCUACCAAGGAGACGAUCCAUAGCUGGUGUGAGAGCAGGAUCAGCCACACUGGGGCUGAGACACGGCCCAGACUCCUACGCGAGGGAGCAGAGGGGAAUACUGUACAAUGGGCGAAAGUCUAAUCCAGCAAUGCCGCGUGAGUGAUGAAGGCCUUAGGGUUGUAAAGCUCUUUUACCCGGGAUGAUAAUGACAGUACCGGGAGAAUAAGCACCGGCUAACUCCGUG